rnacentral:rRNA from 1 species
GUAAACAAGGUUUCCGUAGGUGAACCUGCGGAAGGAUCAUUAUUGAAUAAAUUUGGUUGGGUUGUUGCUGGCUUCUAGGAGCAUGUGCACGCCUAAUCCAUUUUUAACCACCUGUGCACCUUGUGUAGACCUUGAGCAAUCUUCGAGGACAAUGGGACUCGGUUUGAGAAUUGCUGGUGUGGAAACGCGCUCAGCUUUUCUUGUGUUCAGGUCUAUGUCUUAUAUCACACUCCAUAUGAAUGUAUUUGAAUGUAAUCAAUAGGCCCUCGUGCCUUUAAACAUAAUACAACUUUCAACAACGGAUCUCUUGGCUCUCGCAUCGAUGAAGAACGCAGCGAAAUGCGAUAAGUAAUGUGAAUUGCAGAAUUCAGUGAAUCAUCGAAUCUUUGAACGCACCUUGCGCUCCUUGGUAUUCCGAGGAGCAUGCCUGUUUGAGUGUCAUGAAAUUCUCAACCUUUCUGGCUUUUAUAAAGUCCAGUCAGGCUUGGAUUAUGGGAGUUUGCUGGCUUUUUGAAGUCGGCUCUUCUAAAAUGCAUUAGCAAGAUCAUUGCUGCUCAUCAUUAGUAUGAUAAUUAUCUAUGCUAUUGACCGAGUCAGUUUCCUUAAUUGGAGGAUUUUGCUCCUAAUCGUCUUUUUACUAAGACAGCAUUUGACAAUUUUGACCUCAAAUCAGGUAGGAACUACCCGCUGAACUUAAGCAUAUCAAUAAGCGGAGGAAAAGAAACUAACAAGGAUUCCCCUAGUAACUGCGAGUGAAAGCGGGGAAA